rnacentral:snoRNA from 1 species
GUGCUGCCUUUGAGCCCCCGAGGCACCUCCUGGUGGUACUGGGGGUUAAGCUGCAGAGCCAUAGCAUAUUGCUCAUGCAUAA